UUCCAAUCAGAUCAUCAAGUUUAGCAGACUGCCGAACACAUGAUUUCUGAAAAGCCAGUUCUCUUUCUGAGAAACAGAAGUUUGGUUGGCUUUAUCUUGACCUGGCCUUUGUCUCUCUGGAGCUGAGUAGGCCCAAGCCUGAUUUGGGGAGGGAGCAACCCCACUCCCACCGUGUUCACUGAGAGCUGCCUGGGGUGUGGGCAGUGCUCUACCAUCACUCAUCUAUCUUGGGAACCCGAUAUUACUGGUUCCAUCUCAUGCCAAGCUCUUUAGGGUCUGUUGAUAUCUACCCUACAUUUUCAAACAAAACCUGUGAGUUUCAAUGAUAGAAUAUGGAACUUUUCCGGGAGUAGCUCUCAGAAUUAUCUUUUGGAUAAUUGAUGCAGAAGACCUUAUUUGGAAUAUGAGGCUUGUGUUGUCUUGGGAAUAGAAUUCAAUAGCCUUUUU
rnacentral:lncRNA from 1 species